GAUGAAAGAGAAGAAGAAUUGGAUAGAAGAGAGAGAGCACUGGAAAGAAGAGCGAUGGAACUUGAUAGAAGAGAAAGAAUGGUUGCUCAUCAAGAAGGUGAUGAAUUGUCAGCGUCAGCAGAAAACCGACGGGGCACAAGCUCAGACGAAUCAAAGAAGAUGCCGACUGAAGAACUGAAACAUGUGCGACGACAGAGCAUUGACAAAGAUUACCCUAACAUGUCUGAAAGUGUGGACAAACCUUCAUCUUCUCCCUGAACAGACUAUGAUUACACUGGAGCAU